UCCUGGUUUCCCAGGCAGUCUCGUCAGAGUGCCUUACUUACGUAAGUUGCAACUGACGACAAGGGUUGCGCUCGUUAGAGGACUUAACCCAACAUCUCACGACACGAGCUGACGACAGCCAUGCAGCACCUGUGUACCCGUCUAGACCGAAGCCUAGAAGACCGUAUUUCUACGGCUGUCAAGUACAUGUCAAGCCCAGGUAAGGUUCCUCGCGUAGUGUCGAAUUAAACCACAUGUUCCACCGCUUGUGCGGACCCCCGUCAAUUCCUUUGAGUUUUAAUCUUGCGACCGUACUACCCAGGCGAACUACUUAACGCGUUAGCUUCGACACUGAUUCAGCAAAGCUGAAUCAACGUCCAGUAGUUAUAGUUUACAGCGUGGACUAC
rnacentral:misc_RNA from 1 species